UACGGAGGGGGCUAGCGUUUUUCGGAAUUACUGGGCGUAAAGCGCACGUAGGCGGACUAUUAAGUCGGGGGUGAAAUCCCGGGGCUCAACCUCGGAACUGCCUUUGAUACUGCAAGUCUUGAGUCCGGAAGAGGUGAGUGGAAUUCCUAGUGUAGAGGUGAAAUUCGUAGAUAUUAGGAGGAACACCAGUGGCGAAGGCGGCUCACUGGUCCGGUACUGACGCUGAGGUGCGAAAGCGUGGGGAGCAAACAGG
rnacentral:rRNA from 1 species